AAAAGCUCGUUUGAUUCUGAUUUCCAGCACGAAUAGAACUGAAAGCGUGCCUCAACGAUCUGACCUUCCGGAAUCGAAGCUAGAGGUGUCAGAAAAGUUCCACAGGGAAACUGGCUUAGGCACCAUCGUUCCGCACGUUGCACUUAGAUCCUUCGAUGUCCGCUCUUCCUACGUUGCGCCCAAUUCACCAAUUUGGCAUUGUUCCCACCAAUAGGGAAACGUGCACAAGUUUAGACCGCUCGUGGCACAGGUUAUUUUACCCUCGACGACAGUCGCGUAGUAAGCCCAUAAGUUUCGUAGGAACCUUGUUCGCACAAUUGGUCAUCGCGCUUCGCAGUUGUUCCAGUGGCGCGAAGCUACCGUGCGUUGGAUUAUGACUGAACGCCUCUAAGUCAGAAUCCGGGCUAGACCGACGCAUGCGCUCGUCGCCCGUUUGCCGACCCGCCAGUAGGGGCCAUUUGGCCCCCAAGGGCACGUGUCGUUGGCUAAGCCGUCGUGGCGGAAGGGUCACGGUGGCCGCCUUGAAUUACAAUUCCGAUCGAGCGGCGAGCUGAAUCCUUUGCAGACGAUAAAUACGCGACGGGGGUUUGUAAGGGGGUAGAGUGCCUUGCUGCCACGAUCCUCUGAGAUUCAGCCCUUUGUCGCUCCGAUUCGU
rnacentral:ncRNA from 1 species